GUUUUAAAUAUUUAAAAUUUAACUGAUGAGAAUGGAUAAAUAUCGUAUUACACGAGAUUUGGUGGUGGAAUCUGUUUCUCUAAUGAUUUUCUAACAUUAUGCAGGCAAACUUAUUCCUUCAUUUCGAAUGAUCUGCAAAAAAGAUGUGACGUCAUCAGGCAUGGUCGCCUUUUUUCAUGUUGUCACAAUAGGAAAUUCAGAGGAAAGCAAGAAAAUUCAUC
rnacentral:lncRNA from 1 species